rnacentral:rRNA from 1 species
UACAGAGGUCCCAAGCGUUGUUCGGAUUCACUGGGCGUAAAGGGUGCGUAGGUGGCGGGGUAAGUUUGAUGUGAAAUCUCCGAGCUCAACUCGGAAAUGGCAUUGGAAACUACCUUGCUCGAGGGUUGGAGGGGGGACUGGAAUUCUCGGUGUAGCAGUGAAAUGCGUAGAUAUCGAGAGGAACACCAGUGGCGAAGGCGAGUCCCUGGACAACUCCUGACACUGAGGCACGAAAGCUAGGGGAGCAAACAGG